rnacentral:rRNA from 1 species
UACGGGGGGGGCAAGCGUUGUUCGGAAUUACUGGGCGUAAAGGGUUUGUAGGUGGCCCGCUAAGUCACACGUGAAAUCCCUCAGCUUAACUGGGGAACUGCGUGUGAGACUGGCAGGCUCGAGGGCAGGAGAGGAACGCGGAAUUCCAGGUGUAGCGGUGAAAUGCGUAGAUAUCUGGAGGAACACCGGUGGCGAAGGCGGCGACCUGGGUUGAUAUUGACGCUGAGGCGCGAAAGCGUGGGGAGCAAACAGG